CCUACGGGGGGCAGCAGUGAGGAAUAUUGCGCAAUGGGGGGAACCCUGACGCAGCGACGCCGCGUGAGUGAGGAAGGCCUUCGGGUCGUAAAGCUCUGUCAAGAGGGAAGAAGUGCACUAUGGUUAAUACCCGUAUUGCUUGACGGUACCUCUAAAGGAAGCACCGGCUAACUCCGUGCCAGCAGCCGCGGUAAUACGGAGGGUGCGAGCGUUGUUCGGAAUCACUGGGCGUAAAGGGCGCGCAGGCGGUUUGGCAAGUCAGAUGUGAAAUCCCAUGGCUUAACUGUGGAAGUGCAUUUGAAACUGCCAGGCUUGAGUACCAGAGGGGAAAGUGGAAUUCCCGGUGUAGAGGUGAAAUUCGUAGAUAUCGGGAGGAAUACCGGUGGCGAAGGCGACUUUCUGGCUGGAUACUGACGCUGAGGCGCGAAAGCGUGGGGAGCAAACAGGAUUAGAUACCCUGGUAGUC
rnacentral:rRNA from 1 species